GCGGGGGUAGCAAUACCCUAGCGGCGAACGGGUGAGGAAUGCUUGGGAAUCUGCCUGGUAGUGGGGGAUAACGUUCCGAAAGGAACGCUAAUACCGCAUACGUCCUACGGGAGAAAGGGGGGGAUCUUCGGACCUCUCGCUAUCAGAUGAGCCCAAGCGGGAUUAGCUAGUUGGUGAGGUAAAGGCUCACCAAGGCGACGAUCCCUAGCUGGUCUGAGAGGAUGAUCAGCCACACUGGAACUGAGACACGGUCCAGACUCCUACGGGAGGCAGCAGUGGGGAAUAUUGGACAAUGGGCGAAAGCCUGAUCCAGCCAUGCCGCGUGUGUGAAGAAGGCCUUCGGGUUGUAAAGCACUUUAAGCGAGGAGGAAGGUUCGUCACCUAAUACGUGACGGAAUUGACGUUACUCGCAGAAUAAGCACCGGCUAACUCUGUGCCAGCAGCCGCGGUAAUACAGAGGGUGCAAGCGUUAAUCGGAAUUACUGGGCGUAAAGCGCGCGUAGGCGGUUGUGUAAGUUGGAUGUGAAAUCCCCGGGCUUAACCUGGGCACUGCAUUCAAAACUGCACGGCUAGAGUAUUGGAGAGGAAGGUAGAAUUCCAGGUGUAGCGGUGAAAUGCGUAGAGAUCUGGAGGAAUACCGAUGGCGAAGGCAGCCUUCUGGCCAAAUACUGACGCUGAGGUGCGAAAGCAUGGGGAGCAAACAGGAUUAGAUACCCUGGUAGUCCAUGCCGUAAACGAUGUCAACUAGGUGUUGGGGAACUUGAUUCCUUAGUGCCGCAGCUAACGCAUUAAGUUGACCGC
rnacentral:rRNA from 1 species